UAUAUAUAUAGACGUUUAAUCGCAUACAAACGAAACAGACAAACAAGUCAUCUUGAACAAGAGUAACCAUGAGGUCAACUUUUGUUAUUGUCUUCUGUCUUGUGCUUAUCAAUAUAAUUUCUGAGGCGUAUGGUAGAUGUCAAAAAUGCAGAAAAUAUGAAUCAAAUCAAAAGAAGUUCUGUCGGGCUACUUUCGUUAUACGAGGAAGAGUUACAGGUGGGAGGACCUUACCAGAAUUUAACCACAAGAAAAUGGAAUCGGAAGUUGAAGUGUAUGCUAAUUACAAG